rnacentral:tRNA from 2 species
AGAAACUUAGGAUAAUACAAACCAAAGGCCUUCAAAGCCUUAAACAAGAGUUUAAACCUCUUAGUUUCUG